rnacentral:rRNA from 1 species
AAGUCAGAUGUGAAAGCCUUCUGUUCAACGGAAGAAUUGCAUCUGAAACUGCGGGUCUUGAGUGUAGGAGGGGAGAAUGGAACUUCUGGUGGAGCGGUGAAAUGCGUAGAUAUCAGAAGGAACGCCGGCGGCGAAAGCGAUUCUCUGGCCUAUUACUGACACUCAGUGUGCGAAAGCUAGGGGAGCAAACGGGAUUAGAUACCCCGGUAGUCCUAGCCGUAAACGAUGGGCACUAAGUAGAGGGAAUUACCGAUAUUCUCUCUGCCGUAGCUAACGCAUUAAGUGCCCCGCCUGGGGAGUACGGCCGCAAGGCUAAAACUCAAAAGAAUUGACGGGGGCUCGCACAAGCGGUGGAGCAUGUGGCUUAAUUCGAUGCAACGCGAAAAACCUUACCGGGGCUUGACAUGGUAGAAGUAGGAACCCGAAAGGGUAACGAACGGUAUCCAGUCCGUAACUAUUACAGGUGUUGCAUGGCUGUCGUCAGCUCGUGUCGUGAGACGUUGGGUUAAGUCCCCUAACGAGCGAAACCCUUGUUUUUAGUUGCCAGCGGGUUAUGCCGGGCACUCUAGAAAGACUGCCGUCGUCAAGACGGAGGAAGGUGGGGACGACGUCAAGUCAUCAUGGCCCUUAUGCCCCGGGCUGCACACGUGCUACAAUGGCCGGUACAAACGGAAGCGAAG